AAAAAUAUCGAGGGCACAGAAACCAUGCACUUUGCAGUCCAAAUUUUGCAGCUUACCAAAAACAUUAAUCGAUUUACCUCACGAGCAUUCGCACACUCGCAAAUCUACAAAAUACCGGUUUUUGGCAUUUCGGCUUUUCGACUUUUGCCGAUCCAGAUUAAGAAAGAGAGUGUUAGUUACACACGAGUUUGCGACGAUAUGCUGACGAGAUCCACACACGAACCGCCUACAAUUGGAUUACUAACACGUUAAUCUAACUAUUCAAAUACAAACUACGUAUUAACCCCUUACAAUAUUUAGCCAACCACACCUACAGAUUAUAGUAAGCUUAUAAGAAAUCAAUAAGUAACUCAUUAACAAAUUUUUGUCAAUGUUUACCACAUAAUCAUAAUUUCACUGCAAGCCGUCUUCCUGAGCAACAGUCACUAAAUCAUUUAUAACUGGAGCUACGAAACUUCAAAUCAAGUGCCGUUAAUUCUCCCUAAAAAUAGACUCAUAUAUCUUAUAUCCAUAAAAUUUUCAGAAUUUUUGGUUUGGCCAAUCAAUACCAGAUUUUUCUCAAAGUUUCGCAUGUUCCACUGUUUGACUAAUCUGACCACUCUUCAUUACGAAUCAAAUUUCUCAUUGUACAGAAUUCAAAAUAUGUUCUCGUUUAUUUCAUUUGAAACUAGACUCAUCAAGCUUUAAUUACAUAAUUUAUUCAGCUUCUAAUUAAUCUCCCACAAUUUAUGGUGAUUUUCCAAAGUCACGUUACUGCUGCUGUCCCAAGCAGAUUUAUUACCAAAAUUCACUCUUUCACACAUAACUUGCAUGCAUGUUAUUUAAACAUGUAUAUCACCAAUCAAUCAUCACAUAUAUAUGAUUUUACUUAAGUAUAAUCUCCAUUUCAUCAUUUUAAAGCACAACAUGUUAGCCGAUUUUUCCCCUUAGCAUCUAAGGCACAUGCAUGCUCAUUUGUUUGGCUCAACUUCACCUAUCUUCCAUUUUUCAUACAAAGAACAUGAAACAACAACCAUUUCCUUCAUUUUAAUUCAUGACUAAAUGCUCACAACACAACUAAAAACCAAAAUAUGCUUCAAGAGUUAAGGUAGAAUCAAGAAGAACUCAUGAACCUCAAAAUAAAAGCAAACUACCAUGAACUUACCUUCAAUUUUUCUUCCCCAAGUGACCGAACAUUCAAGAGCUUUUUCCUCUCCUUUUUCUUCUCUAACUUUAGGCUAUGAUGAACAAAGAUGGACAAAAAUUUGUUCUUUUCACCCCCUUUUUUUUUAAUAAAAUUUC
rnacentral:lncRNA from 1 species